CCUACGGGAGGCAGCAGUAAGGAAUAUUGGUCAAUGGACGCAAGUCUGAACCAGCCAUGCCGCGUGAAGGAUGAAUGCCCUCUGGGUUGUAAACUUCUUUUAUAGGGGACGAAAAAGGGUCUUUUUAGAUCAACUGACGGUACCCUAGGAAUAAGCACCGGCUAACUCCGUGCCAGCAGCCGCGGUAAUACGGAGGGUGCAAGCGUUAUCCGGAUUUACUGGGUUUAAAGGGUGCGUAGGUGGGUUGGUAAGUCAGCGGUGAAAUCUUCGAGCUUAACUCGGAAACUGCCAUUGAUACUAUCAGCCUUGAAUAUCCUGGAGGUGAGCGGAAUAUGUCAUGUAGCGGUGAAAUGCUUAGAUAUGACAUAGAACACCAAUUGCGAAGGCAGCUCACUACGGGAUUAUUGACACUGAGGCACGAAAGCGUGGGGAUCAAACAGGAUUAGAUACCCUGGUAGUCCACGCCCUAAACGAUGGAUACUCGACAUUUGCGAUAUANAGUAAGUAGUNUGAGNGAAGANAUUAAGUUAUACCCACCCGUACGGUAAGGUAACGAGUCGCGAGAGUUAGUAACGUACAAACUAGUAAGUUAGUACGGACGUGAGACGUUGCCGACGGACGACGACGAGGGAGGAGGGAG
rnacentral:rRNA from 1 species